UAAUAAAAAAUUACCCAUUUCUACUGUUAAAAAUUAGCGUAGCUAACGAAUAACUAAACAUUUGCAUGUGGCGUGCCAUGUGUACCUCAUGUUGAUGUACUAGGACCAGUUCUUAAUAGUAGAAAUUAAUGCAAUUUUUAAUA
rfam:Gossypium hirsutum cultivar TM-1 chromosome 17, whole genome shotgun sequence